rnacentral:sRNA from 1 species
GGAGUCUGACAUGUGUGCGA